GCCUGGGGAGAGGGGACAGAAAGGCCAGGCUCCGGCUGAAGCCUUAUCUGAGGGAGGACGCUGGGACUUUGGAUUCAGAGAUGGAGUUGAGAACCCAGAAAGCCUGCAGUUUGUCAGCAACCCCUUAAAUUACAACCCUAAGCCUGAUCUGUCCUGCUGCCUGCUUUGAUGAAGAAGAAGAAGAGGAGGAAGAGGAGGAGGACAAGGAGUAGGAGGAGGACAAGGAGGAGGAGGAGAAGAAGGAAGAAGAAGGAGAAGAAAUAGAAGAAGAAAUAGAAGAAGAAGAAGAAGAAGAAGAAGAAGAAGAAGAAGAAGAAGAAGAAGAAGAAGAAGAAGAAGAAGAAAAGGCUAUUCCUACGGGGUUGGUGUGGCUAGCUUGAACUUGUAAUUGAAUACACACCAAGUCAGGGCGAGAUUAAAUGAGGAAAUGGAUUUUCUUCUGCAUGAAGGGACCGGGUCAUGUUCUAAAAAUCUGGCUCUUUCAACAUCUUCACAUAAU
rnacentral:lncRNA from 1 species